GACGAACGCUGACGGCGUGCUUUAGACAUGCAAGUCGAACGAGAAAGCCCUUCGGGGUUAGUAAAGUGGCGAACGGGUGAGUAACACGUGGGCAAUCUGCCCUUCGUUGGGGGACAACCGGGGGAAACCCCGGCUAAUACCCCGUAAGCUUGUCGGGUCGCAUGGCCUGACAAGGAGAGGUAGCUUCGGCCAUCCGGCGAAGGAGGAGCCCGCGGUACAUUAGCUAGUUGGUGAGGUAAAGGCCCACCAAGGCGACGAUGUAUAGCUGGUCUGAGAGGAUGAUCAGCCACACUGGGACUGAGACACGGCCCAGACUCCUACGGGAGGCAGCAGUCGGGAAUCUUGCACGAUGGGCGAAAGCCUGAUGCAGCAACGCCGUGUGAGCGACGAAGGCCCUGGGGUCGUAAAGCUCUGUUGUUAGGGACGAAGGGCGAAGGGUUAAUAGCCCUUAGCCUGACGGUACCUUUCGAGGAAGCCCCGGCUAACUACGUGCCAGCCGCCGCCGUAACAC
rnacentral:rRNA from 1 species